rnacentral:rRNA from 1 species
AGGGUUUGAUCCUGGCUCAGAGUGAACGCUGGCGGCGUGGAUUAGGCAUGCAAGUCGAGCGAACUUAAUUACUGAAGUAUGUUUGAAGCCUUCGGGUAGAUAGCGUACGGAUUUAAUUUAGUUAGCGGCAAACCGGUGAGUAACACGUGGGUAACGUACCUUAAGGAGGAGAAUAGCCUCGAGAAAUCGAGGGUAAUACACCGUAUUCCCUGAUACCUGAAAUGGUGCAGGGCAAAGAUGGCCUCUACUUGUAAGCUAUCGCCUUGAGAACGACCCGCGUCCUAUCAGGUUGUUGGUGAGGUAACGGCUCACCAAGCCUAAGACGGGUAGCUGGUCUGAGAGGAUGGUCAGCCACAUCGGGACUGAGACACUGCCCGGACUCCUACGGGAGGCUGCAGUCGAGAAUCUUUCCCAAUGGACGAAAGUCUGAGGAUGCGACGCCGCGUGGGGGAUGAAGGUUUUCGAAUUGUAAACCCCUUUUAUCAAGGAGGAAAUAUUACCUUUUGAAUAAGGAGGUAAGACUGACUGUACUUGAUGAAUAAGCCACGGCUAACUCCGUGCCAGCAGCCGCGGUAAUACGGAGGUGGCAAGCGUUACUCGGUUUGACUGGGUGUAAAGGGUCCGUAGGCGGCCAAAUAAGUGAAAGGUGAAAUCCUUCGGCUCAACCGAAGAAUUGCCUUUCAAACUGCUUGGCUUGAGGCUGGAAGAGGAGAGUGGAACUGCCAGUGUAAGGGUGAAAUCUGUGGAUAUUGGCAGGAAUGCCUGUGGUGUAGACGGCUCUCCAGUCCAGACCUGACGCUCAGGGACGAAAGCUAGGGGAGCAAACAGGAUUAGAUACCCUGGUAGUCCUAGCUGUAAACGAUGGGCACUAGGUGUCUGUCCGUAAGGAUGGGUGCCGAAGUUAACGCGUUAAGUGCCCCACCUGGGGACUACGGCCGCAAGGCUAUAACUCAAAGGAAUUGACGGGGACCCGCACAAGCGGUGGAACACGUGGUUUAAUUCGAUGCUACGCGAGGAACCUUACCAGGGUUUGACAUGCUGGAAGUAGUAUCCCGAAAGGGAGUCCGACCGGUAUCCAAUCCGGUACCAGCACAGGUGCUGCAUGGUUGUCGUCAGCUCGUGCCGUGAGGUGUUCCCUUAAGUGGGAGAACGAGCGCAACCCUCGCCCUUUGUUGCUAUCUUUAGCGUAAGUUAAGGAGCACUCUAAGGGGACUGCCCGCGUUAAGUGGGAGGAAGGUGGGGACGACGUCAAAUCCGCAUGGCCCUUAUGUCCUGGGCUACACACGUGUUACAAUGCCUACUACAAUGGGGGGGCCAAAUCGCAAGGUGGAGCAAAUCCCAAAAAAGUAGGCCCAGUUCGGAUUGAGGGCUGCAACUCGCCCUCAUGAAGCUGGAAUCGCUAGUAAUGGCGCAUCAGCUACGGCGCCGUGAAUACGUUCCCGGGUCUUGUACACACCGCCCGUCAAGCGCUGAAAGUGGGGGGCACCCGAAGCUCCGAUUUAUCGGAGUCACGGCGAAUUUCAUGAUUGGCGCUAAGUCGGAACAAGGUA